CCUUGUACACACCGCCCGUCACACCAUGGGAGUUAGCUGUACCGGAAGUCGGUGAGCCAACCCGUAAGGGGGGCAGCCGCCUAUGGUAUGGCUGGUAACUGGGGUG
rnacentral:rRNA from 1 species